GACGAACGCUGGCGGCGUGCUUAACACAUGCAAGUCGAGCGGUAAGGCCCUUUCGGGGGUACACGAGCGGCGAACGGGUGAGUAACACGUGGGUGACCUGCCCUUAGCUCUGGGAUAAGCCUGGGAAACUGGGUCUAAUACCGGAUAUGACUCCAUGACGCAUGUUGUGGGGUGGAAAGCCUUGUGCGGCUAGGGAUGGGCCCGCGGCCUAUCAGCUUGUUGGNGGGGUGAUGGCCUACCAAGGCGACGACGGGUAGCCGGCCUGAGAGGGCGACCGGCCACACUGGGACUGAGACACGGCCCAGACUCCUACGGGAGGCAGCAGUGGGGAAUCUUGCGCAAUGGGCGAAAGCCUGACGCAGCGACGCCGCGUGAGGGAUGACGGCCU
rnacentral:rRNA from 1 species